CUUAAAUGAAUUGACGGGGCCCGCACAAGCGGUGGAGCAUGUGGUUAAUUCGAAGCAACGCGAAGAACCUUACCUGGUCUUGACAUCCCGGAGACCCUUAGGAAACUAGGGGGUGCUUCCAUCUGGAAGAAUCUGGAGACAGGUGCUGCAUGGCUGUCGUCAGCUCGUGUCGUGAGAUGUUGGGUUAAGUCCCGCAACGAGCGCAACCCUUGCCUUUAGUUGCCAGCAGUUCGGCUGGGCACUCUAAAGGGACUGCCGGUGUUAAACCGGAGGAAGGUGGGGAUGACGUCAAGUCCUCAUGGCCUUUAUGACCAGGGCUACACACGUACUACAAUGGCCGAUACAAAGGGCAGCGACACUGCGAGGUGAAGCCAAUCCCGUAAAAUCGGUCUCAGUCCGGAUUGGAGUCUGCAACUCGACUCCAUGAAGUUGGAAUCGCUAGUAAUCGUGGAUCAGCAUGCCACGGUGAAUACGUUCCCGGGCCUU
rnacentral:rRNA from 1 species